CCCCUCUGAGGGUCGCACCUGGAGAGUUUGCAGUCCUCUACCAGUCUCGGCUACGGGAGGGAGAGUCAAGCAGAGGCCUGGCCGUUCCAUUCCUAGCUUGGCCAGUGGCUGGCCAGUGGAAGACCGUCUGCUACCGGU
rnacentral:snoRNA from 1 species